UCACAUCAGAUGUUCAGAUGCUAAUUAGAAGGACUAAAUAUUAGCUAAUUACAAAACUAAUUGCAUAGAUGAAGUCUAAUUCGCUAGACGAAUCUAUUAAGGCUAACUAAUCCAUCAUUACCAAAUGGUUAUUGUAGCACCACAUUGUCAAAUCAUGGACUAAUUAGGCUUAAUAGAUUCGUCUCAUAAAUUAGACUCCAUCUGUACAAUUAGUUUUAUAAUUAGACCAUGUUUAAUACUCCUAAUUAGUAUCCAAAUAUCUCAUGUGAC
rnacentral:lncRNA from 1 species